GGGAAGGUAGCUCAGUGGUAGAGUGCUUGCCUUGCAAGCAUGAGGCCCUGGGUUUGAUUCCUCAGCACCA
rfam:Dipodomys ordii contig_12610, whole genome shotgun sequence.